rfam:Colletotrichum sublineola strain TX430BB Scaffolds0772.1, whole genome shotgun sequence.
GGCCGGUUGGCCCAAUGGCAAGGCGUCUGACUACGAUUAAGUUACUUAAUCUUGAAAUCAGGAGAUUCUGGGUUCGACCCCCAGGCUGGUCA